AUUGAACGCUGGCGGAAUGCUUUACACAUGCAAGUCGAGCGGCAGCGCGGGGCAACCUGGCGGCGAGCGGCGAACGGGUGAGUAACACAUCGGAACGUGCCCAGACGUGGGGGAUAGCCCGGCGAAAGCCGGAUUAAUACCGCAUACGAUCUAAGGAUGAAAGCGGGGGACUCGCAAGGGCCUCGCGCGUUUGGAGCGGCCGAUGGCAGAUUAGGUAGUUGGUGGGGUAAAGGCUUACCAAGCCUGCGAUCUGUAGCUGGUCUGAGAGGAUGAUCAGCCACACUGGGACUGAGACACGGCCCAGACUCCUACGGGAGGCAGCAGUGGGGAAUUUUGGACAAUGGGCGCAAGCCUGAUCCAGCCAUUCCGCGUGCAGGACGAAGGCCUUCGGUUGUAACUGUCUUUGUACGGAACGAAAGGUACUUCUCUAAUACAGAGGCCCAUGACGGUACCGUAAGAAUAAGACACCGGCUAACUACGUGCCAGCAGCCGCGGUAAC
rnacentral:rRNA from 1 species